AUUCUGAUUUUCCUCCUACACUUGUUGAAAGCUGUGCCAAGCUGCAUACACAAACCAUUUGCUUGGAUUGGUUCACAUUAAUCAUAUUAAUGUAUUUGCUUUAUUGGCUUUGGGGGGGUUCCAAGUGGAAAUGAUUGAAGUGGGGUCCAAAACCAGCUUUAUUUCGGUGCCAGGUGCUAAUGUGAGUCCCACUGGGCUUCUCCUGUCCCUGUCAAUGGGCCUGAACUUCCACAUCAGGAGCUUUAAGUGGCAGCUCAUCAUCUUUUUAUUUCUGAGAAAUGUUAUGCUUAAUAAUUCAAUUAUUGAAAUGUGACAGGAAAGCAAAACCUUGAGCCUGCAAAAAAAACCCAGUGGUGCUCAUCCACAGCACUCAGGGGAGCUUGGGGGAUCCAUGCAGGAUGAAAAGCAAGUUACCCACAGAAAUAUCCAGGAAAUAUCCAGGAAAUAGAUGGGAAAUGCUGUGCAGUGAAGCAGCAAAUUCAGCUGAUCCCAGGGGAAGAAGAGAUGGCAUGAAAGGCUGAAGAAAUCCAUCCCACAAACAUCAGCUUUAUCAACAUUCUGCAGCAGGGAAAUGUUACCCCUUCGAGGGCUGAGCUCCCUGCUCCGCCCAAGUGCAAAACCUAAAUGCACAGAGAAUAUGCAAAAGAACAGAAACAGGAGUUACUGUGAUAAAUAUUUCCUUUCUUCUGCUGCUCCAGCCUUUUCCAGACAUCUGAAAAGCCAUUUUUGGCUUCCUUGGGCUAUUCUGAGCUUUCCCAGCAUUGGGUUUGUUUCUGGAGCAGCAGGAUCCAGCAGGCUGGGCUUACACAGGCCCCGCUUUGGGAUGGAGCAAAACACCUAAAACCCCCCUGGCUCAGGGGUGCAAGUCAGGGCUUGCAGCAAACACAGCUUUAAUCCCAGAGAAGCACUGGAGGUGCAAUUCCAAGGCAGAGUUGAGGGCACAGAUCUCUUGCUGGAGCUCUGCUGAGGGUGGGAAAAACAAACAAGGCAGUCCAGGCAUCCCCCUGCACACACCAGACACAUUCAGUGAUGCUGCUACCAAGCUUUGCUGUAAUUUUCUUUUUGCUGUUCCAUCUCCAAGUGCUCUGCAGAGGAGUUUCCCCCAUGCAGGGAUGUCCCUCAGCCUGGAUUCCCCCACAGCAGCAGCAGGAUCCAGAACAGAGCUGCUCUGGGCCCACACCAGCACUGAGCUGCUCAUCAUUCUUCUCCCUAUAAAACCCUUUUAUAAAAAAUAUCCUUAUACUGAGUACAAAGCUUGAGAGGUAGCACCAGUUUUGUGCCUCAAAACGUGCUCAUAUCCUGGGAAACAAAUGAAAACAAAGCCACACAUGGAUGGUUUUUAUAGGAAAGGUUUCAGCCACCUCCACGCCCGUGGCUCUGUCUCUGUGUUCUGGUUCCUGGGACCUGAGAAUGAAAAGAUUUUGGAGCUGUGCAAGACAACAGAACAUCCCCAUGUGCAAAAUGAUCACAGUUUUAAAAAGAGCAUCUGAGCUGUGUGUCCAUAUUCUCCCAGCCCCAGGAAGAGAGGAUACUCAUGGAUUUUCUGUGUGAACUUCAGAUCAGGGGUAAGUCAAAGGUUUCACUCAUCUCUAGGUAAUUUAUGUUUAACUGCUGUGAUUUGCUGAAGCUUUUAGGCUAGAGACAUCACACGAGAAUGAAGCAGUUUCUCCCUCCAAAUUCCCAGCUGGCCUCCCACAGCAGUUGCCCAAUCCUUGGCCUGUUUUCAUUUCUGCUUCCUGUGUUACCAAAGCAGAGACCUCCCUAAAAUUGUUCCAGGCCAUGCUGGACAGGGCUGGAGCAGUCUGGGAUCGUGGAAGGUUCGUGGUUCCGUGGCAGGGAUGAGCUUUAAAACCCCUCCCAACCCAAACCAUUCCAUGAUUCCUCACAGACAGCAGCACUUCGAGACACAGCAGAGCUUUCAGGAAUGCAAAUAUCUCAAACUUGGGCCAAUAAAAUUUCCUUUAAAUCCAUCAUAGUCACCUAUCCAACAUCCUUUUUCUCCUUGGCUCUUUCCAAUUUGUUUUUCCAUCACUCGCCUCCUUCUUUGAGUCUCAGGUGUUCAGCAGCCCCUGGGAUGGCACCUGAAAUUCCUGCAGGGAAAGAGGGAAUCCCUGCAGCCAGGAGGGAAAGCCUGGAAUAAAAAACCUUUAUUUCUGGGAUCCCUUAUGGAGCUGCAUGCUCAGAACACUGGAUGGGCAAGAACUAAAACUGAAAAUCUGCCAUGAAUUAUCAUCGGAGUAAACACACAGAGCACAGGGUGCAAACACCAGGACUGAGGGCUUUGUGACCACAUGGCAGGAAAUAAAAAAAAAGAAAAAUAAGGGGGGAGGAAGAAGAAAAAAAGCAGGAAAACAAAAGGAGAAGGGCAAAAAAGAUCAAAUAAUUCAUCAGUAAGAAUAACAGCAGCAUCUUGGUUUCACACACAGCUCGUCCAUCUGAUGCUUUGCUCGAUGCUUUGCAGCCAUUCUCUUCUAACACAGCUACAGGAAAAUCAAAACUAAAAAUAUUUGGCCCAAAUCUCUUUGCCCCUACUCGAAUGGCAAAGUAGUAGUAAGGUGGUAGUAGUAAUGUUGUACCAACUCUGAGGUGAGGAGGGGGAAGAGUUCAGUGCAGAGGCAGCAGAGCUGGUGGUUGCACCCCACAACCUUGGACACGUUCGUGUAAAAACAACAAAACAAACGUGGGGAUGUUUCCAUGCCUCGUGUGUUGGCAUAAAUAUCUGCCUGCAUUCAUAACCCACCUCUCCCAAAGACACAAAGCUGUCUCUGCUGAUUUACACCGUGGAUCUGGAAUCUCUGCAAGGUCAAAGCAACGGAGCUGAGGUCUGUGGAGCUGCUCCAGAUUUACGUGAGUCUAAUAAAGAUCAAAAUCUGGCCCUGGGUAUUACCCUUCCUAUUCAGCAGAGUAUUUUUAUGUUUCUGUUAUCUCCUGCCUUCCUACAUUCCUGAAGAGCUUUCCUCCUAACAUACUUGGACUACAGGAUUUGCUCUAAUCACCUAAUCUUGGGUCUUUUUUAAGAGAAGGGAGAGCUGAUAGCUGGGUUCCAUUGCAAAAAUGACAGCCUUUUAUGACUGGGACUAUCUAAAAACCCCAAUCUCAUUCUCAGCCACUGCUCAGCAUCUCAUUAUAUUCAUGAUAUCCUGCAGAAGUUCCACUUCACUCAAAUAUUCCACUGAGAAACUAAAAAGGUAAAUUAUUCAGAGCUGGGGAGGAAACCAGUUCUGUCUGGAAACUGCACUUCCAGCAGUAGCAUCCUUCUCUGUGUGUGAGAGAUGAACUUGGCAUUGUCCUUCAAAGCAUGAAUAAACCUCAAAAUCCUAAUGGUCAGUUCUUGCAUUAAAAAAAAAAAUCCUAGUUGGGGGUUUUGGUUUGGUUUGGUUUUUUGGGGUGUUUUUCCUUUGUUUUUAUUGCAGGUGAUGCAGGGAUCAGCUCGUGCAUUCUCCGAGUGCCCUGUUAGCAAAUGCAAUUUGGGAAGUUUCUGCCAUCAUUUUUUCCACAAAUUCUGAAAGUUAUGAAGCAGAACACAUGGUCUCUAAAGGAGAAGAGGAACCAAAAUCGAGAUUUUAGAUGUUCCCAUUGGAAAAUAUAACUCACUUGGUAUCCAAGGCAUAGAUGUGACAUCCCCAAGGCCUUCAGGGGUUUGGUUCCAGUGGCAGGUUGAGAUUCCAAGAGUUGCCAGAGCCUGGGCACUCAUCCACUCACUCACUCACCCAUUGCACCACUUCAUUCCAUCUGCAGAAACACUUCUUUGUGCUCUAAAGGUUACUGGAAGCUUUUAACACACCUGAUUUUUAUAGUUCUUGGAAAGGUUUUAGAGAAAAAAAAAUACAAAUUCGCUUCCAUACUUUGUUUAAGGAUAUUCUGUUCUGCCUCAGCGCAGGAUGAUUUCUUUCAUUCCACUUUUGCAUUCUGCCAAUCUGUCCAUAUCUAAGUGAAAUAAUUGUGGAAAAGCUCCAUUCAGACAUAGCCCCUUUCACCACCAAGUUUAAGCCACGGCUGAACCUGAGAUAUUUCUGCAGUGUUUGUGCUUCCAGGCUGUGAGUGCCAGCUGGCUCCAGGUGGAAAAACUACCCAAGAAGAAGGAACAGAAAAGUUGCAAAAUCCUUUUUGAAGAGUCUUCCCCCCACCUGAAUCCUGAUGAAAGAUGUUUUAUGAGUACUGAAGGAGCUUUUUAAACACCCGACCUCAGAGUUUGGGCACAAAUAAAGGAGGGGAAGGGGAAGCAGAUUGAUUUGGGUUGAUGCACGGCCAAAGGGGAACAAAGCUCCUUCCAGGCUGAUGUUCCCAGAGACACAAUGAAAUAAAAAUGUUAUCUCCCUUUUAGCUGUAAUCUCUGGUUAGAACGUUUAAUCAAUUAGCAUUGCUGUUGUCAAAACUUGCUCCCGACAAAGGAUGAGAAAAGCUGCCCGAGGGGGAUCCCGAUCCCAAAGCUCGCAGGAGGUGGGAGACUCAUCCCUGCAGGAAACCUCCUGUUCUGGGUGUCGGGAGAGCCCCGAGCCUGCCUUACCCAGCUCCGGAGCGCCCAGAGAGUGUCAAACAACCCUGCAAGAGGAAAAGCCGAAAGCCAAGAGUUGCGAGUGUCAGAUUUCACUAAAAAAGUGUCUUUUUCUUUCCCCAUACCCCCUUAGAAAGCAGAGCGCUUGUGAUCUUUGGAGAGGGGGCUGUUUAAAAAUAAAACCCAAAACACGACGUGUUUGGAGCUGUGAAAAACUUGCUGGGUGUUUUCCUUGCUCCAUGAGUCACCUGGGGUUCAGUCUCUCCGAGCUGGCCAUUAUUGGAAUUCCAACAAAAAUGACAAGAAUUCCUUUCCUUUUUUUUUUUUUUUUUUUUUUUUUUUUUUUUUUUUUUUUUUUUCUCCCCCAUGAAGUUUAUUAUCUCUCUCAUUAACACAACCUUUGUGUUAUGGAGUUCUCCGAGGUCUUGGACAAGAACAGGAUCUCAUUGUGCUAAGUACUGUGCAAACAUAUAAUGGCUAAAAUAAACAGGCAGGAGAGCAGGAGACAAAGAGGAGCAGGAAGAAAAUACAAUUGCUCCCAUUUCAUACACCGGCCCCAGAGAGGUCACAGGACUCUUACAGCAAAGGACAAUGUCCAGGGCUUAAAAAUUCACCCAGAUUUCCCAUGGGAGAGCUCCCAGCAUUAAGCACAAAAAGGAAAUUUCCUUCCCAGCUGCCUAGCUGCUUGAGAAGGCACAGUGCUGAAAUCCUGAUUGUUUCCUGGAGGGUUUGUCCCUGUCCCUGUCCCUGUCCCUGUCCCUGUCCCUGUCCCUGUCCCUGUCCCUGUCCCUGUCCCUGUCCCUGUCCCUGUGCAGAGCUCACCCAUCCCCUGCUCCGUGCAGGAAAUGCCCCAGCAGAGAAAUCUGUACAUUGAUUUCUCAGCACCACGGGCACGGCUUGGCUGUGGUGUAAUCUUGGGACCAGGCCAGAUGGGUGUAUAAACCGUGGAUGUUUCUUCACAAAAUCCACUCUUUUCCAGAGUUUGGGAUGGGGAGCAGCAGCUCUCGCUCUCGCUCUCGCUCCGCUGCAAAUGAAGAUAUUUAUUCCAGGUCGCCAGCAGAGCCGAGGAAGAUCCUGAGCCCUGGGCAGAUUGCACAGAGCAGGCAGGAGAAUACACACACGAAGGAGUGCCUGACUCUCUCAAAUCCAACUCUGGAUGAUCUCAUGUUUCUCCUGCCUUUUUAUAUUGUUGUUGGAAGGCUUUGCCGAAAAAAAAAAAAAAAAAAAAGAAGAAGAAUCAUAAAUAAAUAAUAGAGGAGACAAGAGUUGAUUUGCCUUUCUGCCGGAGACACAGAACCUGUGGAGGUUGGGAAGUGCUGCUGUUCUGUGGGGUCUGUGCCAGUGUCACCCCACCAGGGGACAACCUGCAGCACCCACGGCCUGAAACGAGCCGGGGAAGGGAUGGAGGGAAACUGCAGGAGGGGGAAGAGGUGGAAUUGGCUCUUGGAAAGGCCUUUUUGCUCCCCGUGGUGUCAGAGCAGCCCUUAGAGACAGCCACAGCUCAGCACCGCUCCGAGCCCAGGAGGGACGGGCCGGGAGUGCUUCCCCCGG